GCCUGGGUGGCUCAGUUGGUUAAGCAUCUGACUUCAGCUCAGGUCAUGAUCUCACAGUUUGUGGGUUUGAGCCCCAUGUCGAGCU
rnacentral:tRNA from 1 species